rnacentral:rRNA from 1 species
UGCAGAGGUCCCAAGCGUUGUUCGGAUUCACUGGGCGUAAAGGGUGCGCAGGUGGGUUUGCAAGUUCGAUGUGAAAGCCCCGGGCUUAACCCGGGAAUGGCAUUGGAUACUGCAGAUCUGGAGGAUCGGAGGGGGGACUGGAAUUCUUGGUGUAGCAGUGAAAUGCGUAGAUAUCAAGAGGAACACCAGUGGCGAAGGCGAGUCCCUGGACGAUACCUGACACUGAGGCACGAAAGCUAGGGGAGCAAACAGG